AUAUAUAAUUUAAGAGAAGUUCCCGUAUUUAUUUAACCAAGAAGUAUGAUAUAAUAUAAUUAUGCGAAAAUGGCAUUAAGUCAUUCGAAAUUUCGUACAAUGUACGAAAUGCACGAUCAUUUUAUUUCGUACCAAUGUCCGGCUUAGGUUUCAGGCAUUUAUACAAUAAUCACUAGCCUUGACAGUCGAUUACAUCAUUUGGUAAUAGGUAAGCAGGUAGUAUACUUUUCUGAAUGAAUCCGAAGCAGAUGAGUUUUUGUAGAGAAAAAAAAGAAACUUAACAAAUUGUGUAUGGAAGAAAAUAUAUAGGAUAUAUAUAUA
rnacentral:lncRNA from 1 species